rnacentral:rRNA from 1 species
CACGCUGUAAACGAUGAUCACUCGCUGUGGCUGGUAUUGACCCCGGCCGUAGCCUAGCUAACGCGUUAAGUGAUCCGCCUGGGGAGUACGGUCGCAAGAUUAAAACUCAAAGGAAUUGACGGGGACCCGCACAAGCGGUGGAUUAUGUGGUUUAAUUCGAAGCAACGCGCAGAACCUUACCCGGCCUUGACUUCUAUCUGAAUGUUCCAGAAAUGGUUCAGACCCGCAAGGGACAGAUAAGACAGGUGC